AACGAACGCUGGCGGCAUGCCUAACACAUGCAAGUCGAACGAAGCCUUCGGGCUUAGUGGCGCACGGGUGCGUAACACGUGGGAAUCUGCCCUUCGGUUCGGAAUAACAGUUAGAAAUGACUGCUAAUACCGGAUGAUGACGUAAGUCCAAAGAUUUAUCGCCGAAGGAUGAGCCCGCGUAGGAUUAGGUAGUUGGUAGGGUAAUGGCCUACCAAGCCGACGAUCCUUAGCUGGCCUGAGAGGAUGAUCAGCCACACUGGGACUGAGACACGGCCCAGACUCCUACGGGAGGCAGCAGUGGGGAAUAUUGGACAAUGGGCGAAAGCCUGAUCCAGCAAUGCCGCGUGAGUGAUGAAGGCCUUAGGGUUGUAAAGCUCUUUUACCAGGGAUGAUAAUGACAGUACCUGGAGAAUAAGCUCCGGCUAACUCCGUGCCAGCAGCCGCGGUAAAGUACAGUGU
rnacentral:rRNA from 1 species